rnacentral:misc_RNA from 1 species
UGGGGAGCUGGGUACUGGCCCGAAGUCCGGGUUAAAAACAAACAGGCCUAAAGGCAGGGACGGGUGACAGGGGUUAAGUCGUAACAAGGUAUCCCUACGAGAACGUGGGGAUGGAUCACCUCCUUUCUACGGAGUACAUUAAGAAUUCAAUUAUUGGAAUAUGAAUUCACUUUUAACCUUAAAUUUAAUAAUUUUCGACCUAACAUCAUUUUAUAUAUAUCAACAGUUCAUGGCUUUUUUAGGUCAUAAGCAUUAUGUCUAGUUUUGAGAGAACAUUCUCUCAAUUGUUCUUUGAAAACUGAAUAGUAAAUUAUUUUAAAAUAUUUACAACGACAUCUAAACAAAUAUAAAUUUUAAAUUUAGUCAAUUUGUUUUGAUUCAGCGAGUACUCCUAAAACAUUAUGAGUCAUUGUGAUGUCACAAAAUACCCAUCAUAAAAUAACCCAUUAGGAGCAUACUUUUAAAUAAGGAACAGUUUGUGGUGGCUGCCCUGGGGCGGAGAGCCGAGGAA